rnacentral:rRNA from 1 species
UCGAGGGGUAGAGGAAGCUUGCUUCCUUGAGACCGGCGCACGGGUGCGUAACGCGUAUGCAAUCUACCUUUUACAAAGGAAUAGCCCAGAGAAAUUUGGAUUAAUGCCUUAUGGUUUAUGCUUGUGGCAUCACAUACAUAAUAAAGAUUUAUCGGUAAAAGAUGAGCAUGCGUCCCAUUAGCUAGUUGGUAUGGUAACGGCAUACCAAGGCAAUGAUGGGUAGGGGUCCUGAGAGGGAGAUCCCCCACACUGGUACUGAGACACGGACCAGACUCCUACGGGAGGCAGCAGUGGGGAAUAUUGGUCAAUGGAGGCAACUCUGAACCAGCCAUGCCGCGUGCAGGAAGACGGUCCUAUGGAUUGUAAACUGCUUUUAUACAGGAAUAAACCUAUCCUCGUGAGGAUAGCUGAAGGUACUGUAGGAAUAAGGAUCGGCUAACUCCGUGCCAGCAGCCGCGGUAAUACGGAGGAUCCAAGCGUUAUCCGGAAUCAUUGGGUUUAAAGGGUUCGUAGGCGGUCUAAUAAGUCAGUGGUGAAAUCUCCUAGCUUAACUAGGAAAUGGCCAUUGAUACUGUUAGACUUGAAUUAUUGGGAAGUAACUAGAAUAUGUAGUGUAGCGGUGAAAUGCUUAGAUAUUACAUGGAAUACCAAUUGCGAAGGCAGGUUACUAUCAAUACAUUGACGCUGAUGAACGAAAGCGCGGGUAGCG